rnacentral:rRNA from 1 species
GACGUAGGGCGCGAGCGUUGUCCGGAUUUAUUGGGCGUAAAGAGCUCGUAGGCGGCUUGUCGCGUCGACUGUGAAAACCCGCGGCUCAACUGCGGGCCUGCAGCCGAUACGGGCAGGCUAGAGUUCGGUAGGGGAGACUGGAAUUCCUGGUGUAGCGGUGAAAUGCGCAGAUAUCAGGAGGAACACCGGUGGCGAAGGCGGGCACCUGGGCUAACACUGACGCUGAUGCGCGAAAGCUAGGGGAGCAAACAGG